AUAAAGGAUGUAUUUGAGAGCCACAUGUCAAGAUAGAUCCAUUGGAUGAGUUUGGAAAGUAUGAGCGAGGAGGAGUACAGUCCUCCUAAAUUGCCUCGGUUGGAUGAGUUAUUUUCCGAUAUACUACCACCGGUGUGGCCCCUUUACGGUGAGGUGAGGCUCAAUCCAUUAGCCCCAGUCUUCUUUCCUCCUACGCCUUUGG